UACGAAGGGGGCUAGCGUUGCUCGGAAUUACUGGGCGUAAAGGGCGCGUAGGCGGCGGUAGUAGUCAGGCGUGAAAUUCCUGGGCUUAACCUGGGGGCUGCGCUUGAUACGCUAUUGCUAGAGGACGGAAGAGGGUCGUGGAAUUCCCAGUGUAGAGGUGAAAUUCGUAGAUAUUGGGAAGAACACCGGUGGCGAAGGCGGCGACCUGGUCCGUUACUGACGCUGAGGCGCGACAGCGUGGGGAGCAAAC
rnacentral:rRNA from 1 species